rnacentral:lncRNA from 1 species
AUUUAAUUAACAGCAUUAUUUUCAUCUCUCUCGCCUUCCCCCUCUUUUCGCACGUCGCUUUCUCUCGCUCUCUCUCUCUCUUCUCUUUCUCUCUCUCGCACGAACACCUAUCAUCUUCUAUUGCGUCGUCCUCCAGAUAAUCAUCACGAUCUCCUUCCUCCAUUCAUCAUUUUCGCAAAAAAUAAUAUUCAAAUGACCAAAACAAGGCAAUUUUGGAAAAAACUAUACUUUUAUGUCAGGAUUAUUAAAUUUUAUAAACUGAACCAAACGUAUUAAUGCUAUAAUACACUGUAAUCUAGUAUUACAUUACUGCAUUAAAUCAAACACGCUAAUGCAGUAUCAGUAGUAAUCUCACGCCGAAAAUCAGAUACCUGGAUAUGUCGAGAUACUUUGUAAUAUUACAUAACUCGAACCAAACGGGCCCUAAACGAUAUCAAUCAUUAAUUUGGAUUUCCUUUAUCAGAUAUGACAUU